rnacentral:tRNA from 1 species
CGGGGAGUAGCUCAGCCUGGUAGAGCAUGGCGUUUGGGACGCCAGGGUCGCAAGUUCGAAUCUUGUCUCCCCGACCA